GGUUAAGCGACUAAGCGUACACGGUGGAUGCCCUGGCAGUCAGAGGCGAUGAAGGGCGUGCUAAUCUGCGAUAAGCGCCGGUAAGGUGAUAUGAACCGUUAUAACCGGCGAUACCCGAAUGGGGAAACCCAGUGUGAUUCGUCACACUAUCAUUAACUGAAUCCAUAGGUUAAUGAGGCGAACCGGGGGAACUGAAACAUCUAAGUACCCCGAGGAAAAGAAAUCAACCGAGAUUCCCCCAGUAGCGGCGAGCGAACGGGGAGGAGCCCAGAGCCUGAAUCAGCAUGUGUGUUAGUGGAAGCGUCUGGAAAGGCGCGCGAUACAGGGUGACAGCCCCGUACACAAAAGCGCAUGUGUUGUGAGCUCGAUGAGUAGGGCGGGACACGUGGUAUCCUGUCUGAAUAUGGGGGGACCAUCCUCCAAGGCUAAAUACUCCUGACUGACCGAUAGUGAACCAGUACCGUGAGGGAAAGGCGAAAAGAACCCCGGCGAGGGGAGUGAAAAAGAACCUGAAACCGUGUACGUACAAGCAGUGGGAGCACCCUUCGGGGUGUGACUGCGUACCUUUUGUAUAAUGGGUCAGCGACUUAUAUUCUGUAGCAAGGUUAACCGAAUAGGGGAGCCG
rnacentral:rRNA from 1 species